rnacentral:rRNA from 1 species
GCGACCCCAGGAUGGGCGAGGCCACCCGCUGAGUUUAAGCAUAUCAAUAAGCGGAGGAGAAGAAACUUAC